AGUAACGCGUAAAGAACUUGCCCUUUAGACUGGGAUAACAGAGGGAAACUUCUGAUAAUACUGGAUAAGUUAGUAUAUCGCAUGAUAUGCAAAUGAAAGCUACGGCACUAAAGGAGAGCUUUGCGUCCUAUUAGCUAGUUGGUAAGGUAAGAGCUUACCAAGGCGAUGAUAGGUAGCCGGCCUGAGAGGGUGGACGGCCACAAGGGGACUGAGAUACGGCCCUUACUCCUACGGGAGGCAGCAGCG
rnacentral:rRNA from 1 species